rnacentral:rRNA from 1 species
CUGGUAGUCCACGCCCUAAACGAUGCUGACUAGUUGUUCGGGAUUUACAUCCUGAGUAACGUAGCUAACGCGUGAAGUCAGCCGCCUGGGGAGUACGGUCGCAAGAUUAAAACUCAAAGGAAUUGACGGGGACCCGCACAAGCGGUGGAUGAUGUGGAUUAAUUCGAUGCAACGCGAAAAACCUUACCUACCCUUGACAUGUCACUAACGAAGUAGAGAUACAUUAGGUGCUCGUAAGAGAAAGUGAACACAGGUGCUGCAUGGCUGUCGUCAGCUCGUGUCGUGAGAUGUUGGGUUAAGUCCCGCAACGAGCGCAACCCUUGUCUUUAGUUGCUACGCAAGAGCACUCUAAAGAGACUGCCGGUGACAAACCGGAGGAAGGUGGGGAUGACGUCAAGUCCUCAUGGCCCUUAUGGGUAGGGCUUCACACGUCAUACAAUGGUGCAUACAGAGGGUUGCCAACCCGCGAGGGGGAGCUAAUCUCAGAAAAUGCAUCGUAGUCCGGAUCGUAGUCUGCAACUCGACUACGUGAAGCUGGAAUCGCUAGUAAUCGCGGAUCAGAAUGUCGCGGUGAAUACGUUCCCGGGUCUUGUACACACCGCCCGUCAUACCAUGGAGUGGGGUUUUGCCAGAAGCCGUUAGCCUAACCGCAAGGAGG